rnacentral:rRNA from 1 species
AGGGUGAUAGUCCCUUUCAUAGUUUGGAACCCCCGGGGCUUUGUGAUUUGCUCUCCAAGAGUCGAGUUGUUUGGGAAUGCAGCUCAAAAUGGGUGGUAAAUGCCAUCUAAGGCUAAAUAUUGAGGAGAGACCGAUAGCGAACAAGUACCGUGAGGGAAAGAUGAAAAGAACUUUGGAAAGAGAGUUAAACAGUACGUGAAAUUGCCGGAAGGGAAGGGUAGGAAGUCAGACAUGCCUUUGCGGAUUCAGCUUGACCUUUUGAGGUUGUGUGUAUUUCCGUUUGGGCAGGCCAACAUCGAUUUUGGCUGUCGGAUAGGAAUGGAAGGAAUGUGGCACUCUUUUCGGAGGGUGUGUUAUAGCCUUCUAUUUGGUACGGCGGCUGGGAUCGAGGAACGCAGUGCACCCUUUUUUGGGCGGGCCUUCGGGCACCUUUGCACAUAGGAUGUUGGCUUAAUGGCUCUCUGCCACCCGU